rnacentral:rRNA from 1 species
AGUAGUUUGAUCAGUGGCUCGAGGACGAACGCUGGCGGCGUGCCUAACACAUGCAAGUCGAACGGAACUAUUUUGACAGAUUCCUUCGGGAUGAUGGAUUUUUAGUUUAGUGGCGGACGGGUGAGUAACGCGUGAGUAACCUGCCUCUAAGAGGGGAAUAACGUUCUGAAAAGAUCGCUAAUACCGCAUAACAUAUUGAAGCCGCAUGACUUUGAUAUCAAAGAUUUAUCGCUUAGAGAUGGACUCGCGUCCGAUUAGCUUGUUGGCGGGGUAAUGGCCCACCAAGGCGACGAUCGGUAGCCGGACUGAGAGGUUGAACGGCCACAUUGGGACUGAGACACGGCCCAGACUCC